GAUGAACGCUAGCUACAGGCUUAACACAUGCAAGUCGAGGGACCGGCGCACGGGUGAGUAACACGUAUCCAACCUGCCCUUUACUCGGGGAUAGCCUUUCGAAAGAAAGAUUAAUACCCGAUAUAAAGGAUGGGGAUGCGUUCCAUUAGGUUGUUGGUGAGGUAACGGCCCACCAAGCCUUCGAUGGAUAGGGGUUCUGAGAGGAAGGUCACCCGCAGUGGAAGUGAGACCCGGGCCAAACGCCUACGGGAGGCAGCAGAGAGGAAUAUUGGUCAAGGGGCGGUAGCCUGAACCAGCCGAGUAGCGUGAAGGAUGAAGGCUUAUGGGUCUUAUACUUCUUUUAUAUAAGAAUAUGUAUUAUAUGAAUAAGGAUCGGCUAACUCCGUGCCAGCAGCCGCGGUAAUAC
rnacentral:rRNA from 1 species